ACUACUGUAAAGAACUGUUGGAAUACGCCUAUUCCCACAUUCAAAUAAUAACAUUAAAUACUAUUAAAUAAUACUAUCGAUAUAUUAAGUAUUAUUAUGUAAAGUUAGUCUGGUCACACUUGAAGUGUCCACUUCCUCUUUCCUUUCUGAUCUCGAAUCGAAUGUACGUGGUACCGGUGUUGCAGUGAAAAAGUAAUCAAGAAAUACAUAAAUAAUCUUUAAAGAAAAAUAUAACUUGGUACUGUCAUUCGUUUACUAAUUGUCAUAGCUAGUUAUCCAAUAGGUUAUGGGCCCAGUCCACGCCAAUUUAAAUAAAUUAAAUUAAUAACAAAUAGUUGUGAAAUUAGUUCCGCGUGCGUUCUUGUGUAGUUUUUUUUCUUUGUAGUGUGUGUGUGUAUAAUAUAUACAUAUGUACAUAGAAAAUGGAAAGAAAUAAGCAACAUAUUAAGCCUUUUUGUGGCGAGAAAUAUUCUAUAUGGAAAUUUAGAAUCAGAGCUUUGUUUGCUGAAUUAGAGGUGCUCCAAGUAGUCGAUAACAUAAUGCCUAACGAAGUAGAUUAUAAUUGGAAAAAGGCAGAGCGAUGUGCGAAGAGCAUUUUAAUUCAAUAUUUAGGCGACGCAUUUCUAAACUUCGCGGCAGGCGACAUUUCGGCACGUGAUAUCCUGAAGAAUUUAGACGCCAUAUAUGAGCGUAGAAGCCUUGCGUCGCAAUUAGCUGCACGUAAACUCUCACGUAAACUCAAACUCUCAAGUGAAGCCAAUUAAAAUCGCUGUGGCAAAAGAAGGCGAGUUUUUAUAUGCCACUAAGCGUGGAAUUGUGCGGCUGCACAAUGGACACAAUAUCACACUGGAGGAUGUGCUCUACUGCAAGGAGGCAGCAGGAAACCUCAUGUCUGUCAAGCGUCUGCAACAGGCAGGGAUGUCAAUUAAGUUUGACUGUGGUGGUGUCUCCAUAUCAAAAAAUGGAGUAAUUGUUGUUAAAUAUACAGACAACCAACUUGCUGACAUCUUCACGAAGCCACUACCUGCUGGAAGAUUUGCGGAACUGCGGAACAAUUUAGGACUACUACAAGAAGAAUGAUUCCAAUUUUAGGAAAACAUGAACAUUAUGCUUUAUUAACAAAUUUAUUACAUUAAUUCAUAUUUAAUUUUUUUUUGUUUAUUUUUUUUUUUUAUUUGAACCAAAAGAACCAAUGAAUUGUUAAAGUAAUUUAAUUUUAUGUUAAUCUAAUUUUAAAGUGAUCUGAUCGGGUUUUUCUGGGUUUUCCCCGUAUCCUUAGAGCAAAUGCUAGAUCACAUAACACUUCCCAGAAUGCACACCAACCACAUUAGAAUAACAAUUGAAUGUUACCUUUUUGAUUUAAUGAUGAAAACAUUUUUUUUAUUUUUAUGAUUUUGAUGAUUAAUGUUAUUUUUGAGGGGGGCGUGUUGGAAUACGCCUAUUCCCACAUUCAAAUAAUAACAUUAAAUACUAUUAAAUAAUACUAUCGAUAUUCUAAGUAUUAUUAUGUAAAGUUAGUCUGGUCACACUUGAAGUGUCCACUUCCUCUUUCCUUUCUGAUCUCGAAUCGAAUGUACGUGGUACCGGUGUUGCAGUGAAAAAGUAAUCAAGAAAUACAUAAAUAAUCUUUAAAGAAAAAUAUAACUUGGUACUGUCAUUCGUUUACUAAUUGUCAUAGCUAGUUAUCCAAUAAGAACAAAUACCCUUUCCGGCGCUGUUACUUUUGUUCCCUACAUCCGCUGGAGAUGAACAUAGUGUAAGAAAACCAUGUGAAAGACCAUCAAAAGUUUAUAUUUUGUGUGUUCCGGUCCAGGAAGAGUCCAGGAGAGAGGUGGUGUUGAAAAUACUCAACUUUAAGGAUGAUUCAGACAGAAAUGGCAAUCAAUAAUCAACGUUUUAUCUCAGAUUCGAAGAGAUCCUCUUUCGAGCUGGUUCAAGUGCCAGUCUGCUGGUGUAGACUGUGCCUCCUCUCCCCGAAAAGAACGAUAUUGAAAAGAAGUGAGCGGCGGGGAAAAGUUUCAAAUUAUUGUAGGGCAUGAACAUGACGCAUCGCUGGUGAGGGAGCACAUUGGUUUUUCAGUCGGGGAAAGUGGCCAGCCGAGGGGCGAAGCCCCCGCAUACAUUUCGUGCACAUUUGGUGCACAGCACAGCCCCACACGACUCAUGGCGCACAGUGCCGUCGAUAAGCGAAUGGAAAAUCGUGUAUAAAUACAAUUGAUUGUCGGAACAAAGCAUUAAAGCAAAGCUCUCGCGAAAGCUUUCGAAUGGAAUCCGCAUCUGCCGCAAACUGAUUGCAAAACUAAAAACUAAUCCCCAUCCGUGGUGGGUGGUUGGUGGGGGGCCAGGCCCCCGCAAAUUGAUAAAUGCCAUAAUUAAAGAGGUGUUUUCGUUUGAUGAAAAGCCAACAUUCCAGAUUCCAAUCAUCGAUGCGCAGCGUUGAAUAAAUAAAUAAACGAUAGCGCACCAACGAAGUCGGAUUAGACAGCUGCAAUAUCUACUAUCUCUUA